CAAACCUUCUCAUCAGAUAAUAAUGUUGUGCCAUUUUAUUGGCAUUUGGGUUCCAUUACUUAAAUAUUCUGCUUUAAAAAUAUAAGAUGAGGUUUCAAAUUCUUCUACUGUAUAUUCCAACAUUUAAAAUCUCUAUGGUACAAAGUAGUAUUGAAAUAGGAAAAUGUUGGCCGGGUGCGGUGGCUCAUGCCUGUAAUCCCAGCACUUUGGGAGACCGAGGUGGGCGGAUCACCUGAAAGCAUGAUGGCCAACAUUGCGAAACCUCACCUCUACUAAAAAAAAUAUAAAAAUUAGC
rnacentral:lncRNA from 10 species